rnacentral:rRNA from 1 species
GGUGCAUGGCUGUCGUCAGCUCGUGUCGUGAGGUGUUGGCGUUAAGUCCCGCAACGAGCGCAACCCUUGUCCUUAUGUUGCCAGCGGGUAAUGCCGGGAACUCAUAGGAGACUGCCGGUGUCAACUCGGAGGAAGGUGGGGAUGACGUCAAGUCAUCAUGCCCCUUAUGUCCAGGGCUUCACGCAUGCUACAAUGCCCGGUACAAAGGGCUGCGAUCCCGCAAGGGGGAGCGAAUCCCAAAAAGCCGGUCUCAGUUCGGAUGGGGGUCUGCAACUCGACCCCAUGAAGUCGGAGUCGUUAGUAAUCGCAGAUCUGCAACGCUGCGGUGAAUACGUUCCCG